rnacentral:misc_RNA from 1 species
GAAAAUUCAAUAACUUGUAAUCAAUAGGGGGGGAGGGGGAGAAGAAAAGGGAGCAAAACAGGGUCCUCUGGUCACUAUUACAGUUGCCAAAGUCUGCUAAAAGAAGGAAAAAAGAGCCAUUGAAUAAUUUGAUUUGCCAGAACCAACCCCUAGACCAUGAGAGAGAAACUCCUAGACAAAAUUUGGGAGGAUUCAUCCCUUGUCCCCAAACUACCCUCCUAUAAACAAUAAAAUACCAAUUCUACCACCUCCUCCCCAACCAUCCGCUCUCUCUAUCCCCCUCGCCUGGUCGCCGUUCUACGCUAUUCAAUAAAGCGGAGCCCGGUUUGGAGUCUUCUUUCUUCGGUUCAUCAAACCAGCCGAUAUUUCAGAUAUCCGUGGGAAUAUUGGCCGGCAAGCCGAUAAACUACUCCUUUUCUUUCUCACAAUUUCAGUUGUAGCAGUGCAAGCAAUUGUCCUGCACCCAACCCCACCAUACCCACCUGAACUAGAAGAUGUCCGGUUUGAGGCAGCCGGUUCAAGCACCGAGUCUGGAGUCAUAAAACCGUCGUCUGAACCCGACUCGGGCAAGGACAAAAACUUGCAAUCAAAGAGGAAACUUGAAAGCCCACCCACACCUUUUGUUCUAACGAUACAAUCGAUCUUGCAGGAAAGAGAGCAGAAGAGAUAAGGGUCUUGUAGACUUCUGUCACAGUUGCCGCAGACAUUGCCGGAGCCUCUGAAUUGUCUUGUUUGCGGCCUCGGGUUUAAAAAUAUCACUUUUGCACUGUUAGUGGUGUAGGAUUGAACAAAAGCGCAGUCGAACAGCUUCUGAGCGUCGCCCAACCUUAUAACGUCGUGAUAUACAUACCUUCUUAUCUGCAAGAGUCGAUGAGAGCUGUGAGGAGACAAGCAGUGAGGGCAGAUACUGAUGCAACAGUCCAAGCAAAAUAUGUUCUUUUCAUUUUUCUUUGCUUCUUCGUGAAUUAUACAAGCGUUGAAGAACUUCUCUGUAAGAAGAACUUGAAGCCAGUAAGGAAGUAGAUGUGAAGAAACCAGCAUGAUUUCUUUUCGUAUUUGAACUUCGAUGAGAGAGACAAGGAGAAUUGGGUGAGGGUUUAUGAAGAUAGUGGUGGAGUAACUAUAAUUGCAGAGAGAAAGAGAGAGGAACGGCGCCUGUCAACUGAUGCUACUCGUGUGGUUUACUGUUACCAAUGAAGAACAGCAGAGACCAUACUAGAGAGUAGAGAGAAAGAGAGAAAGAAAGAG